rnacentral:lncRNA from 1 species
GAACGAGGGACAGAAUGCCAGAGACUUGCCCUCUGACCGCUAGACACGCACGUCCUUCAAUCGUGAUUUUCUUCCAGUGCUGUCCUUUCGCGCAGCAUUCUUCGUUUGAUCCUUAUUGCGACCGGACAUUUCCAUUUGCAUUUGUUUUAUUUUUUUAUUCAUUUGUACCUGUUCUCGCGCUUGCGCAUGUAUGUUCACGCAUGUAUGUGUGCCAAAGAAGGCCGCAAGGG